UGGGGAAUAUUGCACAAUGGGCGAAAGCCUGAUGCAGCAACGCCGCGUGAGUGAUGAAGGCCUUCGGGUUGUAAAGCUCUGUCUUUUGGGACGAUAAUGACGGUACCAAAGGAGGAAGCCACGGCUAACUACGUGCCAGCAGCCGCGGUAAUACGUAGGUGGCAAGCGUUGUCCGGAUUUUACUGGGCGUAAAGGAUGCGUAGGCGGAUUUUUAAGUGAGAUGUGAAAUACCCGGGCUUAACUUGGGUGCUGCAUUUCAAACUGGGAAUCUAGAGUGCGGGAGAGGAGAAUGGAAUUCCUAGUGUAGCGGUGAAAUGCGUAGAGAUUAGGAAGAACACCAGUGGCGAAGGCGAUUCUCUGGACCGUAACUGACGCUGAGGCAUGAAAGCGUGGGUAGCAAACAGGAUUAGAUACCCUGGUAGUCCACGCCGUAAACGAUGAGUACUAGGUGUAGGAGGUAUCGACCCCGUUCUGUGCCGCAGUUAACACAA
rnacentral:rRNA from 1 species